rnacentral:rRNA from 1 species
GGGAUAGCCUUUCGAAAGAAGAUUAAUACCCGAUGGCAUAGUUCUUCCGCAUGGUAGAACUAUUAAAGAAUUUCGGUCAUCGAUGGGGAUGCGUUCCAUUAGGUUGUUGGCGGGGUAACGGCCCACCAAGCCUUCGAUGGAUAGGGGUUCUGAGAGGAAGGUCCCCCACAUUGGAACUGAGACACGGUCCAAACUCCUACGGGAGGCAGCAGUGAGGAAUAUUGGUCAAUGGACGAGAGUCUGAACCAGCCAAGUAGCGUGAAGGAUGACUGCCCUAUGGGUUGUAAACUUCUUUUAUACGGGAAUAAAGUGAGGCACGUGUGCCU